rnacentral:rRNA from 1 species
CCUACGGGAGGCAGCAGUAGGGAAUGUUCGUCAAUGGGCGCAAGCCUGAACGAGCAAUGCCGCGUGAACGAGGAAGGUCUUCGGAUCGUAAAGUUCUGUUGAAGGGGAAAAAGAGCGGAGAGAGGAAAUGCUUUCUGAUGGAGAUUACCCUUCGAGGAAGGCACGGCGAACGACGGGCCAGCAGCCGCGGUAAUACGUAGGUGGCGAGCGUUAUCCGGAAGGAUUGGGCGUAAAGGGUGCGUAGGCGGCCUGCGAAGUCUGGAGUGAAAGGUACCGGCUCAACCGGUACAGGCUCUGGAAACUGGCGGGCUAGCGCGCAGGAGAGGGCGGUGGAACUCCAUGUGUAGCGGUAAAAUGCGUAGCUAUCUGGAAGAACCCCAGUGGCGAAGGCGGCCGCCUGGCCUGUUACUGACGCUGAGGCACGAAAGCGUGGGGAGCAAAUAGGAUUAGAUACCCUAGUAGUC